GUUGGCCGACAGCCGGUUGGUGCUCUUUCAAGGGAACGUUUUCCCUGCGGACGACUCGGAGGUUCAAUGUGGGCAAGUACAGGAAGCCAUACUCUUUGGUUCCUUCGGUAAAGUCGCGUAGGCAGAAAUGAAAUCACGUAAAAUAAAAUAAAACGCAAAUCACGACGUUUCGAUCGCAACACAGGCAGGAAGCCACGCAAGCAAGCCGUGUUGGUCUCAGCGCUCCGGGUGAUUGAAGCCAGAUGGCCAGACGCCGAAUCUACACUCGAGCACCCACAAUUCAUUCCCAGCCAACGGCUAACAUCAGUGGCGAGUGAUAUCUGAAAAAGAUCCCGGUUCCUUCACCUUCAACAACCCUCGCGAACCACCGAGGCUUUGCAAAGGGCAGUCGUGCAGAAGAAAUCUGCCACUACCCGCAGUCAAUGCACUUCAACCCCCGCGUGCCGGGAUUAAAAUCAACAUUUGAAAGGGAGACCGCGAAAAUUAUUUCUGCCUCGGGGCCUUAAAUGGGGCCAACGCAACCGUGGCUCGUGAGCAGCGAGAUCAAGUUCUGCCGCACGCGACAAUGUGAGCCAUCGCGUGAGAGAAACACAGAGAGAGAGAGAGAAGGGUGAGGAGAGGCGGGGCAGCGUCGCUGGGAGUGACUGGGAGAAAGGUGAGCGCACGGAGGCCAAACAGACAGAUAAAUAGAUCACAAUGAAUUUAUACAGCACAUGAAUAUAGUAGAACAUUGAUUUGCUUUCCACUCAAUAUUGCAAUAGCUACAAGACAAUGAAACAGCCGGGGCUCACGCGGCUCUGACCGGGGUCACGAGAAAUGGGAACGAGAUAACACAGUUGUGCGUGGCUCAUCACAGCGGAAGCUGAUUCGAUGAAUUACGGGCGUAAUUUUGGAACGGCCCCUGUUCAUUGAUAUUUUUGUCGUCACGCCGAGACGUCUUAUUUAGAAGAACAGAUGUUCCCACAAUGCAGUGCUUCAGAGCUAUGAUUGCCUCGAUUCUACAAUCCCAUAGCUCCGUUGUAAAUGAAAGAAAACCUAUAAUAGAGGGGGGAGGGGGGUUGGGUUAGAUAAAAAAAAUAUGU